CUCUUGGAAACAUCAGCCGGCCAUUUGAUGCUGCCUCACGCGGUAUCGUGGACUGGCAUUUGCGGGACACCGCCGUCUUCGUUUCUCUUUCUUCGCGGACACGCUUGAGGCUGCCUGAGCGCACCGUCUUGGUUCGGUAACGGACCGGGGCUAUGGUGCAUGCGGUUUUCGGGCCUGUAGCUCAGGUGGUUAGAGCGCACCCCUGAUAAGGGUGAGGUCGGACGUUCGAGUCGUCCCAGGCCCACCACUGAUCCAGAAGGUUGGGCGUCGAUCUGAAGCUCUCGUUGUGCUGAGCGUGCUCUUAGGGGCCAUAGCUCAGUUGGGAGAGCGCGUGCUUUGCAAGCAUGAGGUCGUCGGUUCGAUCCCGUCUGGCUCCACCAUUUCCCUUGGAUCUUUCUGAGAGACAAGGUCGAGAUGGUCGGUGGUGAAGCGCUUCAAGCGUGAUCUUUGAAACACUCCGGUUUCGAAGAUCUUCUGUCCGCACAAUCUGUUUCGCUGAUCCUCAUGGAGCCCCCAUGUGGGCGAGGAUGAGCGCUGCUGUCUGACAUUGUGAAUCUGGGCGUUUUCGAUUUGCUGGCCGCAAGGCUGGCGGGUCGUGAUGGAAGGCUUGUCCUUCCGGACACGAUCAUCGGGUGCUGACCGCACCGGUGUCGAAAAUGUCGAAGCUGGUCUUUAGCGUCCAGCCCUCUCGCUGAUCCGCCUGGUGCGGAUUGAUGAGAACCUCAGCCGAGGAGUGGGCAUGGACGAUGAGAUCGAUCAAGUGUCUUAAGGGCAUUC
rnacentral:tRNA from 1 species